UUUUACUAAGGAAAGAAACGGUUUAUGUUAGUGAUUAGAGAAAAUCAGUGGAAAUCAUCAAGUUUACGGAUUACUUAAAAGGUAAAAACAAUUAUGGAUUAAACCAAUGUGCAGUAACAGAAAUGCUUCUAAAAAUACUGCGUUCAUAUCGUCAAAGUUUCCUAAUCAGAAAACACUUGGAAAUCCAAAAACAGUCGGAGAGGUUGGAAAUGGAAAAAUGGAAUUAAUAAAUUGACGAAAAUGUUGAAAAUGUGUAGCUGGAGAAAGCUGGCCACUAAUAUGGAUCAAAAAAGCUUGCGGAAUCAGGAUAUCGCCUCCGCCAUGUGGAUUUGGAUAGAAUCAAAUUUCGUUAUCAGUAAUUUCGGACGGAAAAAUAAUUUUAAAGGUAGAAAGAUAUAGAUUCAAAUGUACCUGCAAUAAGAUGGAAAUAUUAAGGAGACUUUUCAUGGAAUUUUUUUAUUUACUAAUUCGAAAGGAUAUGAUCUCAAGUUUUUUUUGUGAAAGCAGAAAAAUACACUAUUUGAGAUUGUUCGGCCAUUUA
rnacentral:lncRNA from 1 species